rnacentral:rRNA from 1 species
GACCGCAAGGUUGAAACUCAAAGGAAUUGACGGGGGCCCGCACAAGCGGUGGAGUANNUGGUUUAAUUCGACGCAACGCGAAGAACCUUACCAGGUCUUGACAUUGANGGACAGAACCAGAGAUGGUUCCUCUUCUUCGGAAGCCAGAAAACAGGUGGUGCACGGUUGUCGUCAGCUCGUGUCGUGAGAUGUUGGGUUAAGUCCCGCAACGAGCGCAACCCCUAUCUUAUGUUGCCAGCACGUAAUGGUGGGAACUCAUGAGAGACUGCCGCAGACAAUGCGGAGGAAGGCGGGGAUGACGUCAAAUCAUCAUGCCCCUUAUGACCUGGGCUACACACGUACUACAAUGGGAGUUAAUAGACGGAAGCGAGAUCGCGAGUUGGAGCAAACCCGAGAAACUCUCUCUCAGUUCGGAUCGUAGGCUGCAACUCGCCUACGUGAAGUCGGAAUCGCUAGUAAUCGCAGGUCAGCAUACUGCGGUGAAUACGUUCCCGGGCCUUGUAG